rnacentral:rRNA from 1 species
CGUGAAAUUCCGUCGGAAUCUGGGAGGACCAUCUCCUAAGGCUAAAUACUCUCUAGUGACCGAUAGUGAACCAGUACCGUGAGGGAAAGGUGAAAAGCACCCCGGAAGGGGAGUGAAAUAGAACCUGAAACCGUGUGCUUACAAGUAGUCAGAGCCCGUUAAUGGGUGAUGGCGUGCCUUUUGUAGAAUGAACCGGCGAGUUACGAUUUGAUGCAAGGUUAAGCAGUAAAUGUGGAGCCGUAGCGAAAGCGAGUCUGAAUAGGGCGUUUAGUAUUUGGUCGUAGACCCGAAACCAGGUGAUCUACCCUUGGUCAGGUUGAAGUUCAGGUAACACUGAAUGGAGGACCGAACCGACUUACGUUGAAAAGUGAGCGGAUGAACUGAGGGUAGCGGAGAAAUUCCAAUCGAACCUGGAGAUAGCUGGUUCUCUCCGAAAUAGCUUUAGGGCUAGCCUCAAGUGAUGAUUAUUGGAGGUAGAGCACUGUUUGGACGAGGGGCCCCUCUCGGGUUACCGAAUUCAGACAAACUCCGAAUGCCAAUUAAUUUAACUUGGGAGUCAGAACAUGGGUGAUAAGGUCCGUGUUCGAAAGGGAAACAGCCCAGACCACCAGCUAAGGUCCCAAAAUAUAUGUUAAGUGGAAAAGGAUGUGGCGUUGCCCAGACAACUAGGAUGUUGGCUUAGAAGCAGCCAUCAUUUAAAGAGUGCGUAAUAGCUCACUAGUCGAGUGACACUGCGCCGAAAAUGUACCGGGGCUAAACAUAUUACCGAAGCUGUGGAUUGUCCUUUGGACAAUGGUAGGAGAGCGUUCUAAGGGCGUUGAAGCAUGAUCGUAAGGACAUGUGGAGCGCUUAGAAGUGAGAAUGCCGGUGUGAGUAGCGAAAGACGGGUGAGAAUCCCGUCCACCGAUUGACUAAGGUUUCCAGAGGAAGGCUCGUCCGCUCUGGGUUAGUCGGGUCCUAAGCUGAGGCCGACAGGCGUAGGCGAUGGAUAACAGGUUGAUAUUCCUGUACCACCUAUAAUCGUUUUAAUCGAUGGGGGGACGCAGUAGGAUAGGCGAAGCGUGCGAUUGGAUUGCACGUCUAAGCAGUAAGGCUGAGUAUUAGGCAAAUCCGGUACUCGUUAAGGCUGAGCUGUGAUGGGGAGAAGACAUUGUGUCUUCGAGUCGUUGAUUUCACACUGCCGAGAAAAGCCUCUAGAUAGAAAAUAGGUGCCCGUACCGCAAACCGACACAGGUAGUCAAGAUGAGAAUUCUAAGGUGAGCGAGCGAACUCUCGUUAAGGAACUCGGCAAAAUGACCCCGUAACUUUGGGAGAAGGGGUGCUCUUUAGGGUUAACGCCCAGAAGAGCCGCAGUGAAUAGGCCCAAGCGACUGUUUAUCAAAAACACAGGUCUCUGCUAAACCGUAAGGUGAUGUAUAGGGGCUGACGCCUGCCCGGUGCUGGAAGGUUAAGAGGAGUGGUUAGCUUCUGCGAAGCUACGAAUCGAAGCCCCAGUAAACGGCGGCCGUAACUAUAACGGUCCUAAGGUAGCGAAAUUCCUUGUCGGGUAAGUUCCGACCCGCACGAAAGGCGUAACGAUUUGGGCACUGUCUCAACGAGAGACUCGGUGAAAUCAUAGUACCUGUGAAGAUGCAGGUUACCCGCGACAGGACGGAAAGACCCCGUGGAGCUUUACUGUAGCCUGAUAUUGAAAUUCGGCACAGCUUGUACAGGAUAGGUAGGAGCCUUUGAAACGUGAGCGCUAGCUUACGUGGAGGCGCUGGUGGGAUACUACCCUAGCUGUGUUGGCUUUCUAACCCGCACCACUUAUCGUGGUGGGAGACAGUGUCAGGCGGGCAGUUUGACUGGGGCGGUCGCCUCCUAAAAGGUAACGGAGGCGCUCAAAGGUUCCCUCAGAAUGGUUGGAAAUCAUUCAUAGAGUGUAAAGGCAUAAGGGAGCUUGACUGCGAGACCUACAAGUCGAGCAGGGUCGAAAGACGGACUUAGUGAUCCGGUGGUUCCGCAUGGAAGGGCCAUCGCUCAACGGAUAAAAGCUACCCCGGGGAUAACAGGCUUAUCUCCCCCAAGAGUUCACAUCGACGGGGAGGUUUGGCACCUCGAUGUCGGCUCAUCGCAUCCUGGGGCUGUAGUCGGUCCCAAGGGUUGGGCUGUUCGCCCAUUAAAGCGGUACGCGAGCUGGGUUCAGAACGUCGUGAGACAGUUCGGUCCCUAUCCGUCGUGGGCGUAGGAAAUUUGAGAGGAGCUGUCCUUAGUACGAGAGGACCGGGAUGGACAUACCUCUGGUGUACCAGUUGUCGUGCCAACGGCAUAGCUGGGUAGCUAUGUGUGGACGGGAUAAGUGCUGAAAGCAUCUAAGCAUGAAGCCCCCCUCAAGAUGAGAUUUCCCAACUUCGGUUAUAAGAUCCCUCAAAGAUGAUGAGGUUAAUAGGUUCGAGGUGGAAGCAUGGUGACAU